GUCUCCAUAGCUCAGAAGGAUAGAGCGCAGACCUCCUAAGUCUGGUCAUUGGCCGAGUUCGAGUCUCGGUGGGGACACCA
rnacentral:tRNA from 1 species